UGGGGAAUAUUGCACAAUGGGGGAAACCCUGAUGCAGCAACGCCGCGUGAGUGAUGACGGUCUUCGGAUUGUAAAGCUCUGUCUUUGGGGACGAUAAUGACGGUACCCAAGGAGGAAGCCACGGCUAACUACGUG
rnacentral:rRNA from 1 species